rnacentral:rRNA from 1 species
CCCAGACUCCUACGGGAGGCAGCAGUGGGGAAUAUUGCACAAUGGGGGAAACCCUGAUGCAGCGACGCCGCGUGAGCGACGAAGUAUUUCGGUAUGUAAAGCUCUAUCAGCAGGGAAGAAAAUGACGGUACCUGACUAAGAAGCCCCGGCUAACUACGUGCCGGCAGCCGCGGUAAUACGUAGGGGGCAAGCGUUAUCCGGAUUUACUGGGUGUAAAGGGGGCGCAGACGGCAGCGCAAGCCAGGAGUGAAAGCCCGGGGCCCAACCCCGGGACUGCUCUUGGAACUGCGCGGCUGGAGUGCAGGAGGGGCAGGCGGAAUUCCUGGUGUAGCGGUGAAAUGCGUAGAUAUUAGGAGGAACACCAGUGGCGAAGGCGGCCUACUGGACGGUGACUGACGCUGAGGCUCGAAAGCGUGGGGAGCAAACAGGAUUAGAUCCCCCAGUA